rnacentral:rRNA from 1 species
UACGAAGGGGCUAGCGUUGUUCGGAAUUACUGGGCGUAAAGCGCACGUAGGCGGACAUUUAAGUUGGAGGUGAAAGCCUUGGGCUCAACCCAAGAAUUGCCUUUGAUACUGGAUGUCUCGAGACCGGGAGAGGUGAGUGGAAUUCCGAGUGUAGAGGUGAAAUUCGUAGAUAUUCGGAAGAACACCAGUGGCGAAGGGCGGCUCACUGGCCCGGUUCUGACGCUGAGGUGCGAAAGCGUGGGAGCGAACAGG